rnacentral:tRNA from 5 species
GCGCCCGUAGCUCAGAUGGAUAGAGCAAGGGUUUCCUAAACCCUGUGUCGCAGGUUCAAGUCCUGUCGGGCGCACCA